GGAUUUUGCAGACAUGCGUUCGCUCGUGUGCGAGAUCGCGAGAGGAAAGUCCGGACACCACAUGGCAAAAUUCCACGCGAAAGCGUGGGCACGCGUCCCAUAGGUCGCGUGACGGAACAGUGCAACAGAAAAUAUACCGCCGCCAGGUAAGGGUGAAAUGGUGAGGUAAGAGCUCACCGGCGCAGCAGCGAUGUUGCGCGCAUGGCAAACCCAAUUUGGUGCAAGGCGAAAUAGGGGGCCGAGUUGCCAGCUCGAUGGCUCCGGGUUCGCCGCACUCCGCAUGGAGAAUUCUGCGAUUGCUUGCAGAAUUAGAUGAAUGGACGCACCGUCGCAGGACGGCACAGAAUCCGGCUUACUGCAGGAUCCUCAC
rnacentral:RNase_P_RNA from 1 species